GCAUAUCAAAGACAUCUAAUAAAAUUAGAAUGAUACAGGGAAGAUUAGCAUAACACUUAGGCAAGGAUGACAUGAAAAAAUAGAGCACCGGACCCAAUUAAA